UUUCCCCCCCCUUUUUUCCCCCCCCCUUUUUUUUUAAACCCCCCGGGGGGAAAAAAAGGGGGGGAAAAAUUUUUCCCCCCAAAAAAAAAAAAAUUUUUUUUAACCUUUUUUUUGGAAAAUUUUUUUUUCCCCUUUUGGGGGGAAAAUUU